UCGCAGCUUGAGUAGCAUUGACAGUAGGUUCUUCAGGUGCCUCAUCCAUAAAGAUAUAUAGAAUUCUCUCGUGCUCCAAGACAAUCUUCAACUUUCGAUACCAGCUAUCAAAGUUGGGUCUGAUGAGCUUGUCGCUAUUGGAGGGUUAAUGUGUUGGCCAUAGCUGAAAGAAAAAAUAUAAGCCUCUUAGUAUAUGAGUUACUUUUUAAUCCCAAAGGCAUUGACUUUAGUCUAAAAGUUCUUUCACUAUUUUGUACGAAUUGGUAGCCUCUACCUCCAAUUCAAAGAAUUACAUUAAUUUCUUAGUGGAUACUAGAAUCCACAC
rnacentral:lncRNA from 1 species